AGUGCAUGUGGUGGAUGCCUUGGCAGUCAGAGGCGAUGAAAGACGUGAUAGCCUGCGAAAAGCUCCGGGGAGGCGGCAAAUAUCCUUUGAUCCGGAGAUGUCUGAAUGGGGGAACCCACCUACUUUAAGGUAGGUAUUGCAACAUGAAUACAUAGUGUUGCAAGGCGAACGAGGGGAAGUGAAACAUCUCAGUACCCUUAGGAAAAGAAAUCAAUUGAGAUUCCCUCAGUAGCGGCGAGCGAACGGGGAUCAGCCCAUUAAGUUAUGUGUGUUUUAGUGGAACGCUCUGGGAAGUGCGAACGUAGAGGGUGAUAUUCCCGUACACGAAAGGGCACACAUAAUGAUGACGAGUAGGGCGAGGCACGUGAAACCUUGUCUGAAUAUGGGGGGACCAUCCUCCAAGGCUAAAUACUCCUGACUGACCGAUAGUGAACCAGUACCGUGAGGGAAAGGCGAAAAGAACCCCUGUGAGGGGAGUGAAAUAGAUCCUGAAACCGCAUGCAUACAAGCAGUGGGAGCACCUUCGUGGUGUGACUGCGUACCUUUUGUAUAAUGGGUCAGCGACUUAUAUUCAGUAGCGAGGUUAACCGUAUAGGGGAGCCGUAGAGAAAUCGAGUCUUAAUAGGGCGUUUAGUUGCUGGGUAUAGACCCGAAACCAGGCGAUCUAUCCAUGAGCAGGUUGAAGGUUGGGUAACACUAACUGGAGGACCGAACCCACUGUCGUUGAAAAGCCAGGGGAUGACUUGUGGAUAGGGGUGAAAGGCUAAUCAAGCCUGGUGAUAGCUGGUUCUCCCCGAAAGCUAUUUAGGUAGCGCCUCGGACGAAUACCAUAGGGGGUAGAGCACUGUUUCGGCUAGGGGGUCAUCCCGACUUACCAAACCGAUGCAAACUCCGAAUACCUAUGAGUACUAUCCGGGAGACAGACUGCGGGUGCUAACGUCCGUAGUCAAGAGGAAAACAAUCCAGACCGCCAGCUAAGGCCCCAAAAUCAUAGUUAAGUGGGAAACGAUGUGGGAAGGCAUAGACAGCUAGGAGGUUGGCUUAGAAGCAGCCACCCUUUAAAGAAAGCGUAAUAGCUCACUAGUCGAGUCGGCCUGCGCGGAAGAUGUAACGGGGCUAAAACUAUGUGCCGAAGCUGCGGAUGUAUACUUUGUAUACGUGGUAGGGGAGCGUUCUGUAAGCCGAUGAAGGUGUGUUGAGAAGCAUGCUGGAGGUAUCAGAAGUGCGAAUGCUGACGUGAGUAACGACAAAACGGGUGAAAAACCCGUUCGCCGAAAGACCAAGGGUUCCAGUCCAACGUUAAUCGGGGCUGGGUGAGUCGACCCCUAAGGCGAGGCCGAAAGGCGUAGUCGAUGGGAAAAUGGUUAAUAUUCCAUUACUUCUGUGUAAUGCGAUGAGAGGACGGAGAAGGCUAAAUCAGCCUGGCGUUGGUUGUCCAGGUGAAAGGAUGUAGGCAUGUAUCUUAGGCAAAUCCGGGGUACUCUAUGCUGAGAUCUGAUAGCAAGCUGUACUUGUACAGCGAAGUGGUUGAUGCCAUGCUUCCAGGAAAAGUCUCUAAGCUUCAGUUACACAGGAAUCGUACCCGAAACCGACACAGGUGGUCAGGUCGAGUAGACCAAGGCGCUUGAGAGAACUCUGCUGAAGGAACUAGGCAAAAUGGUACCGUAACUUCGGGAGAAGGUACGCUGUUGUUGGUGAUGGAACUCGCUUCCUGAGCUGACGACAGCCGCAGAAACCAGGCCGCUGCAACUGUUUAUUAAAAACAUAGCACUCUGCAAACACGAAAGUGGACGUAUAGGGUGUGAUGCCUGCCCGGUGCUGGAAGGUUAAUUGAUGGGGUUAGCGUAAGCGAAGCUCUUGAUCGAAGCCCCAGUAAACGGCGGCCGUAACUAUAACGGUCCUAAGGUAGCGAAAUUCCUUGUCGGGUAAGUUCCGACCUGCACGAAUGGCAUAAUGAUGGCGGCGCUGUCUCCAGCAGAGGCUCAGUGAAAUCGAAAUCGCUGUGAAGAUGCAGUGUACCCGCGGCUAGACGGAAAGACCCCGUGAACCUUUACUGCAGCUUGACACUGAACUUUGACCUUACUUGUGUAGGAUAGGUGGGAGGCUUUGAAGCUGGAACGCUAGUUCCAGUGGAGCCGUCCUUGAAAUACCACCCUGGUAAUGUUGAGGUUCUAACUCUGUCCCGUGAUCCGGGACGAGGACCGUGUCUGGUGGGUAGUUUGACUGGGGCGGUCUCCUCCUAAAGAGUAACGGAGGAGUACGAAGGUGCGCUCAGCGUGGUCGGAAAUCACGCGUAGAGUAUAAAGGCAAAAGCGCGCUUAACUGCGAGACCCACAAGUCGAGCAGGUACGAAAGUAGGUCUUAGUGAUCCGGUGGUUCUGUAUGGAAGGGCCAUCGCUCAACGGAUAAAAGGUACUCUGGGGAUAACAGGCUGAUACCGCCCAAGAGUUCAUAU
rnacentral:rRNA from 1 species